UUGGAGAUGAGCUGCAGAGCUGAACAUGUUCCUAGGGUGAUCACCAGGGUAGUUCCUGGCCAAGAGAUUGCUGUUUCUGUACCACACUGGCAGUAAAGUGUGCCCUUCAUACACUCUGCUUCUCUACCUGCAUCAAGGACCCAGUCCAACAGAUCCACGCGUCCAGAUUCCUGUAUCUGAGUUGAGAAUAGGGAGGAGGUGCUGCAGACCAUGUUAGAAGCAAGUUCUGUGGGUUAACCUAGACCCCAGGAGAAAGCUGGAAGCCGAGUGUCAGGAUCUGAUCUGAGUCCUGCCAAAGUCUUCACCUCCCAGAAAGAAUUUCUUGGAGAGAAAGAAACUGGACAGAAGUCUCUUGUGUCACAGGGUCAAAAGAAACAACUGAACCCUAGUGUCGGGAGAGUUCAGGACCAUGGACAACAACCACAGGGCAGACAAGACUACUUUUAUCAGAGCAGUAAAGGGUGAAAGCAUCAACAAGAGACCCUGUUUUGGGAGAAGCUCCCAAGGAUCAGAAGGUAAUGGCAUGCAUUAAAGCAGACUGGCCAGGUGAGGAGAAGCUGAUUUCCCUACUCAGGUCCACAGAGGACACACUGUGGCCUUUAGGCUGGUCACUUGGCUUUAGUGGCUCAGAAGCCUCUACUAUGAAUCACAGGGAAGAAGUUCUGACAUUUUGGGGAGUGUGGGAUGAUGAAGCUGUACUACAGACGAAGAAAUUCCUUUAAAAUCCUGACUUGCCCAGCUACACAGAAAUGAAGCUGAAGGCUUGUCUUGAUACAUUCCUGUCUACUUGGUAACUCUGAAUAAGUUUCCUAACCUAGCAUCCUACCUGUGACGUGCUGGUGUGAAUCACCUCACAGAGGAAGUGAAGUGCAAUAGAAAGGGUAGGGGUUAAGAACCAGGCACACUAAGGAACCAAUUACAGAUUGACUCAUUUCUGCCUGCGUCUGGGAAAGUAAGCAAAUCUCCAUAAGUCUCAGUUUCCCAAUCUGUAUAAUGGAACGAUGAUAAUAAUGUCUACUAGAAUGAAAUACAAUCACUCAUACUAAACUUCAGGAAAAAUUGGAAGUGUUGUUAGCCUCAAGUAAUGGAAAACCGUAACACCUUCACCUUUUAAAAGUUCAAAUUCUUCCCAUAUCUAACAGUCUUCAGGUGGAUAGGUACCAGCUGGCUUCCCCUCAGUGCUGCAGAUGUGUUGAGUUCUGCCUCAAGGUCACAAAUUGGCUGCCAGAAUUCCAUACACCAUAGUGGUAUUCUGAGUAUGUCAAAAGUGGGGAGAAAAAAGGCAUCAAAUGUGUUUGUCUCCUUUAUCAGGAAGGCAAAGUCUUCUAGAAAUGCUUGCGGCAUGCUCCUAUUGUACUUUAUGGACCAGAACUCACAGGGCUCACCACAACUGCAAGGGAGAUGGAGAAAUCAGAGACUAUGAUGACUCAUUACAGAGGACGGGCACACUGCAGCCCUGCAUAUGAUCAGGGUUGAGAUGGUAAGAAAGAAGUCAAGUGGAAACCCGGAGGAAGCUGGCAGCAUCGGCUACAGAGGGCCACCUUAAUCAUUCAAUUCUGCUUUUUCAUUCUUCCUCUUCCAAUAACCUGAUAAUCCAGUCUAGUUUAAUAGUCUGUGAUUCCAUAAGGUCCAGUAAAUUAUGAUCAGAAGUCAGUAUUUAUGGUUAAAAUCUUGAAAGUAGCCAAGUGGAAGAUGAACAUGAAAAUAAAAAAUAAGAAUUGUGGAA